GAUGAAGAACGCAGUGAAAUGCGAUAAGUAAUGUGAAUUGCAGAAUUCAGUGAAUCAUCGAAUCUUUGAACGCACCUUGCGCCCUUUGGCUAUUCCGAAGGGCAUGCCUGUUUGAGUAUCGUGAACACCUCAACUCUCAUGGUUUGCCAUGAUGAGCUUGGACUUUGGGGGUUUUGCUGGCCUUUGGUCGGCUCCUCUCAAACGGAUCAGCUUUCCAGUGUUUGGUGGCGUCACGGGUGUGAUAACUAUCUACGCCUGUGGUUUUCUGCCAGAUAACCUUCAGCGAUGGAGGUUCGCUGGUGCUCAUAAAUGUCUCUCUUCAGUGGAGACAGCUUUUUGGACGUUUGAUCUCAAAUCAGGUAGGACUACCCGCUGAACUUAAGCAUAUCAAUAAGCGGAGGA
rnacentral:misc_RNA from 1 species